UGCGCACAUGACUGUAAGUUGCUUUGGAUAAAAGAGUCUGCUAAAUGGCAUAUA
rfam:Salmo salar isolate Sally breed double haploid chromosome ssa20, whole genome shotgun sequence.